rnacentral:rRNA from 1 species
GGGACACGUGGUAUCCUGUCUGAAUAUGGGGGGACCAUCCUCCAAGGCUAAAUACUCCUGACUGACCGAUAGUGAACCAGUACCGUGAGGGAAAGGCGAAAAGAACCCCGGCGAGGGGAGUGAAAAAGAACCUGAAACCGUGUACGUACAAGCAGUGGGAGCACGCUUAGGCGUGUGACUGCGUACCUUUUGUAUAAUGGGUCAGCGACUUAUAUUCUGUAGCAAGGUUAACCGAAUAGGGGAGCCGAAGGGAAACCGAGUCUUAACUGGGCGUUAAGUUGCAGGGUAUAGACCCGAAACCCGGUGAUCUAGCCAUGGGCAGGUUGAAGGUUGGGUAACACUAACUGGAGGACCGAACCGACUAAUGUUGAAAAAUUAGCGGAUGACUUGUGGCUGGGGGUGAAAGGCCAAUCAAACCGGGAGAUAGCUGGUUCUCCCCGAAAGCUAUUUAGGUAGCGCCUCGUGAAUUCAUCUCCGGGGGUAGAGCACUGUUUCGGCAAGGGGGUCAUCCCGACUUACCAACCCGAUGCAAACUGCGAAUACCGGAGAAUGUUAUCACGGGAGACACACGGCGGGUGCUAACGUCCGUCGUGAAGAGGGAAACAACCCAGACCGCCAGCUAAGGUCCCAAAGUCAUGGUUAAGUGGGAAACGAUGUGGGAAGGCCCAGACAGCCAGGAUGUUGGCUUAGAAGCAGCCAUCAUUUAAAGAAAGCGUAAUAGCUCACUGGUCGAGUCGGCCUGCGCGGAAGAUGUAACGGGGCUAAACCAUGCACCGAAGCUGCGGCAGCGACACUGUGUGUUGUUGGGUAGGGGAGCGUUCUGUAAGCCUGUGAAGGUAUACUGUGAGGUAUGCUGGAGGUAUCAGAAGUGCGAAUGCUGACAUAAGUAACGAUAAAGCGGGUGAAAAGCCCGCUCGCCGGAAGACCAAGGGUUCCUGUCCAACGUUAAUCGGGGCAGGGUGAGUCGACCCCUAAGGCGAGGCCGAAAGGCGUAGUCGAUGGGAAACAGGUUAAUAUUCCUGUACUUGGUGUUACUGCGAAGGGGGGACGGAGAAGGCUAUGUUGGCCGGGCGACGGUUGUCCCGGUUUAAGCGUGUAGGCUGGUUUUCCAGGCAAAUCCGGAAAAUCAAGGCUGAGGCGUGAUGACGAGGCACUACGGUGCUGAAGCAACAAAUGCCCUGCUUCCAGGAAAAGCCUCUAAGCAUCAGGUAACAUCAAAUCGUACCCCAAACCGACACAGGUGGUCAGGUAGAGAAUACCAAGGCGCUUGAGAGAACUCGGGUGAAGGAACUAGGCAAAAUGGUGCCGUAACUUCGGGAGAAGGCACGCUGAUAUGUAGGUGAAGUCCCUCGCGGAUGGAGCUGAAAUCAGUCGAAGAUACCAGCUGGCUGCAACUGUUUAUUAAAAACACAGCACUGUGCAAACACGAAAGUGGACGUAUACGGUGUGACGCCUGCCCGGUGCCGGA